rnacentral:rRNA from 1 species
UUGAACGCUGGCGGCAUGCCUUACACAUGCAAGUCGAACGGCAGCACGGGGGCAACCCUGGUGGCGAGUGGCGAACGGGUGAGUAAUGCAUUGGAACGUGCCCUGAAGUGGGGGAUAACGUAGCGAAAGUUACGCUAAUACCGCAUAUUCUGUGAGCAGGAAAGCAGGGGAUCGCAAGACCUUGCGCUUUAGGAGCGGCCGAUGUCGGAUUAGCUAGUUGGUGAGGUAAAGGCUCACCAAGGCGACGAUCCGUAGCGGGUCUGAGAGGAUGAUCCGCCACACUGGGACUGAGACACGGCCCAGACUCCUACGGGAGGCAGCAGUGGGGAAUUUUGGACAAUGGGCGCAAGCCUGAUCCAGCCAUGCCGCGUGAGUGAAGAAGGCCUUCGGGUUGUAAAGCUCUUUCAGCGGGAACGAAACGGUCGAUCCUAAUACGAUCGGCUAAUGACGGUACCUGCAGAAGAAGCACCGGCUAACUACGU